rnacentral:rRNA from 1 species
AGUGAACGCUGGCGGCAGGCCUAACACAUGCAAGUCGAGCGGCAGCGGGUCCUUCGGGAUGCCGGCGAGCGGCGGACGGGUGAGGAAUGCAUCGGAAUCUGCCCUGUCGUGGGGGAUAACCUAGGGAAACUUAGGCUAAUACCGCAUACGACCCACGGGGGAAAGCGGGGGAUCGCAAGACCUCGCGCGAUAGGAUGAGCCGAUGUCCGAUUAGCUAGUUGGCGGGGUAAAGGCCCACCAAGGCGACGAUCGGUAGCUGGUCUGAGAGGAUGAUCAGCCACACUGGGACUGAGACACGGCCCAGACUCCUACGGGAGGCAGCAGUGGGGAAUAUUGGACAAUGGGCGCAAGCCUGAUCCAGCCAUGCCGCGUGGGUGAAGAAGGCCUUCGGGUUGUAAAGCCCUUUUGUCCGGGAAGAAAUCGUCUGGGCUAAUACCCCGGGCGGAUGACGGUACCGGAAGAAUAAGCACCGGCUAACUUCGUG